rnacentral:rRNA from 1 species
AGUAACGCGUGGGUAACCUGCCUCACACAGGGGGAUAACAGUUAGAAAUGACUGCUAAUACCGCAUAAGCGCACAGUGCUGCAUGGCACAGUGUGAAAAACUCCGGUGGUAUGAGAUGGACCCGCGUCUGAUUAGCUAGUUGGUGGGGUAACGGCCUACCAAGGCGACGAUCAGUAGCCGGCCUGAGAGGGUGAACGGCCACAUUGGGACUGAGACACGGCCCAA